GCGGCGGACGGGUUAGUAACGCGUGGGAAUAUACCCAAUGGUACGGAAUAGCCUCUGGAAACGGAGAGUAAUACCGUAUGUGCCCUUCGGGGGAAAGAUUUAUCGCCAUUGGAUUAGCCCGCGUCUGAUUAGAUAGUUGGUGGGGUAACGGCCUACCAAGUCGACGAUCAGUAGCUGGUUUGAGAGGAUGAUCAGCAACACUGGGACUGAGACACGGCCCAGACUCCUACGGGAGGCAGCAGUGGGGAAUCUUAGACAAUGGGCGCAAGCCUGAUCUAGCCAUGCCGCGUGAGUGACGAAGGCCUUAGGGUCGUAAAGCUCUUUCGCCUGUGAAGAUAAUGACUGUAGCAGGUAAAGAAACCCCGGCUAACUCCGUGCCAGCAGCCGCGGUAAUACGGAGGGGGUUAGCGUUGUUCGGAAUUACUGGGCGUAAAGCGCACGUAGGCGGAUCGAAAAGUUGGGGGUGAAAUCCCAGGGCUCAACCCUGGAACUGCCUCCAAAACUCUCGAUCUGGAGUUCGAGAGAGGUAAGUGGAAUUCCGAGUGUAGAGGUGAAAU
rnacentral:rRNA from 1 species